rnacentral:rRNA from 1 species
GACGAACGCUGGCGGCGUGCCUAAUACAUGCAAGUUGAGCGCUGAAGGCUGGUACUUGUACCAGAUGGGUGAGCAGCGAACGGGUGAGUAACGCGUGGGGAAUCUGCCUUUGAGCGGGGGACAACAUUUGGAAACGAAUGCUAAUACCGCAUAAAAACUUUAAACACAAGUUUUAAGUUUGAAAGAUGCAAUUGCAUCACUCAAAGAUGAUCCCGCGUUGUAUUAGCUAGUUGGUGAGGUAAAGGCUCACCAAGGCGAUGAUACAUAGCCGACCUGAGAGGGUGGGCGGCCACCCUGGGACGGAGACACGGCCCAAACUCCCACGGGAGGCAGCAGUAGGGAAUCUUCGGCAAUGGACGAAAGUCUGACCGAGCAACGCCGCGUGAGUGAAGAAGGUUGUCGGAUCGUAAAACUCUGUUGGUAGAGAAGAACGUUGGUGAGAGUGGAAAGCUCAUCAAGUGACGGUAACUACCCAGAAAGGGACGGCUAACUACGUG